UACGGAGGGUGCAAGCGUUAUCCGGAUUCACUGGGUUUAAAGGGUGCGUAGGUGGGCAGUUAAGUCAGUGGUGAAAUCUCCGGGCUCAACCCGGAAACUGCCAUUGAUACUAUCUGUCUUGAAUAUCGUGGAGGUAAGCGGAAUAUGUCAUGUAGCGGUGAAAUGCUUAGAUAUGACAUAGAACACCAAUUGCGAAGGCAGCUUACUACCCGAAUAUUGACACUGAGGCACGAAAGCGUGGGGAUCAAACAAG
rnacentral:rRNA from 1 species